ensembl:snoRNA SNORD36 Small nucleolar RNA SNORD36
UUGCAAUGAUGUAUGAAUUUCUUCACCUGAAACUUGCACCAUGAAGAGCAAACUGUACGAGCUUUUUAACCCUGAGCAAC